rnacentral:tRNA from 6 species
UACCAAAGGAUAAUAGUAUUCCACUGGU